GCCAGACUCCUACGGGAGGCAGCAGUGGGGGAUAUUGCACAAUGGGGGGAACCCUGAUGCAGCGACGCCGCGUGGGUGAAGAAGCGCCUCGGCGCGUAAAGCCCUGUCAGCAGGGAAGAAAAUGACGGUACCUGAAGAAGAAGCCCCGGCUAACUACGUGCCAGCAGCCGCGGUAAUACGUAGGGGGCAAGCGUUAUCCGGAUUUACUGGGCGUAAAGGGAGCGUAGACGGCGGUGCAAGCCAGAUGUGAAAGCCCGGGGCUCAACCCCGGGACUGCAUUUGGAACUGUGCUGCUAGAGUGUCGGAGAGGCAGGCGGAAUUCCUAGUGUAGCGGUGAAAUGCGUAGAUAUUAGGAGGAACACCAGUGGCGAAGGCGGCUUGCUGGACGAUGACUGACGCUGAGGCUCGAAAGCGUGGGGAGCAAACAGGAUUAGAUACCCCUGUAGAU
rnacentral:rRNA from 1 species